GAUGAACGCUGGCGGCGUGCCUAAUACAUGCAAGUCGAGCGAACAGAUGAGGAGCUUGCUCCUCUGACGUUAGCGGCGGACGGGUGAGUAACACGUGGAUAACCUACCUAUAAGACUGGGAUAACUUCGGGAAACCGGAGCUAAUACCGGAUAAUAUAUUGAACCGCAUGGUUCAAUAGUGAAAGACGGUUUUGCUGACAAUUAUAGAUGGAUCCGCGCCGCAUUAGCUAGUUGGUAAGGUAACGGCUUACCAAGGCGACGAUGCGUAGCCGCCCUGAGAGGGUCGUCGGCCACCCUGGAUCUGAGACACGGUCCAGACUCCUACGGGGGGCAGCAGUAGGGAAUCUUCCGCAAUGGGCGAAAGCCUGACGGAGCAACGCCGCGUGAGUGAUGAAGGUCUUCGGAUCGUAAAACUCUGUUAUUAGGGAAGAACAAAUGUGUAAGUAACUACGCACGUCUUGACGGUACCUAAUCAGAAAGCCACGGCUAACUACGUG
rnacentral:rRNA from 1 species